UUGAUCUCUAACAUGGGAGCUCUCUUUAGUCGCAGGAAGUGCUCCUUUAGUCACAGGAAGUGUUCCCUGCUUGCCUCCACCACCUUGCCCCGUUUAUCAUGACCCAUCCUGGCAGGCUCUUCCCCACUCUUCCCGCUGUGGAGGCUGAGGGAGCCCCAGUGAGUCAUUUGCUGAGCAGCUCGUGAAGGGAUGCAGAACGUGCUUAGGGAAACCAAGACGGGGAUGCCACAGGCCAGCUUAGAUGUUCAGCAACCCAAGAAGAGAACAAAGGGAUUUUGCUCCGUGAAGCCUAAUUGCCUGCUGAAUAAAUAAACAAACAGACAAAGCCAUGUACGCAUGCAGCGAAGGGAGGAGAAAGGACUCUUCUGAGUGUGGAGGUCACUUGAGCAUGUCCUAGUGGAAGAAACCGCCUCCAGUUCAUCUGCCCCUUGGUGGGGAAGUCCCAUCCCCGCUCUGAGCCUCAUUUUCCUGUCCUCACCGUAGGGCGGAGUAUUAACACCGGAACGCUGCUACUGCACUGGCCUCAGUCACAGAUUUUCCAAACUCAAGCAAGGUUAACAACAAUGGCUCCUGGGUACCAGUUGAGUACUCUUUUCUCAUCCUCCCCGCUUCUGUUUUGCAAGCCCAUUGUAGUCAUCAAAGAAGGAACAGACAGGGAGAGCUUAGCCACCACGGGGAAAUCGCGGGGGGGUGGGGGAUCUGACCUUCUACCUCCCGGUUCAAGCGCCUGGUGCAGCAUCCGGACACUUUUUAAACCCUCUAGCUCUGACUCUUAAAAGAUGAGCUGUACAAGGCACUUUUCUGUGACAAAACACCUUGACCCAGGCAGCUUACAGAAAGAAGAGCGUACCGGUUCCGGAGGAUUGAGAGCCCAUGGUGGUGACCAGGCAAGGCGUCGUGCGUGCGUGGGGCAGCAGUAGCAUGCGGGAGAUCAGGUCCCCGACGCGAAGACGAAGCAGAGAGAGUGAAGGGGAAGCAGGAGGGUGAGACUGUGACCCCUCCAAGCCCACCUCCUGCUUCUAGCAAAGCCACGCCUCCUAACGUCCCCAAACAGUGGCGCCACCUGGGAAAUAAGUGUUCGAAUGCCCCAGUCUGUGGAGGACACCUCUAACUCAGACACCACACAAAUCUCAGGAAGACCGAGGAAGAGCCUGCGUGGUCCUGCAGCCGUUCGUGAUACUGGAGAUUUAUUUCGUUGUAUCGUUAGUAUUGCUUUGUUACUACUUUUACAUUGUUUUAUUUGGUACUUGGAAUGGUUUCAGAUUUCCUUAAUAUCUGCUCAUACCUACAUACAAUUUUAUGAACAUGCCUAAAAAUAAUGAGCGCAUUUAAAAACAGGUCUUAGCAAUUCUGAAUAUAAUACACUCAUAAAAUGUCACGAGAAGAUUUUAAAAAAGCAGGUAUGAGAUUUAAAAGUCAUUGCUUAUUGUCUUGGUCACUUUUCUAUUGCUGCGAAGAGAAACCAUGACAAAGGCAACUGAUAAAACAGUUUGUUAGGGACUUGCUUACGGUUCCAGAGGGUUAGAGUCCGUGACCAUCACGGCAGCGAGCGUGGCAGCAGGCAUGUGUGGCGCUGCAGCAGUGGCUGAGAGCUCACAUGUUAGAGACAACAACCUCGAGGCAGAGAGAACUGGAACAAUAAAGACUUUGAGUGACACACCUCCCCCAACAAGGCCACACCUCCUCAUCCUUCCCAUACAGUUCCACCAAUGGGACCAACCAUUCAAACGUGAACCUAUGGGGCCCAUCUUCAUUCAAACCACCACACCGUGGUGGCCUUGCUUUACAAGAUUAAUUUAUUGAUGUGCAAUUUACAGAACAUAAGGUUAACCAUUGUUAACUACAUGGUGUGUAGUUCACUAAUGUAUUACAGUCACCCCUUCUAUCUAGCAAUCUAAGUAUCCCAAUACUGAUCCCAUUCCAAUAAUAAUUGAACGCUUGGUUUUUAGUUCCUGUUUCACCCAGCUUCUGCCAGUCAUUCUUACGCAUUUUGUCUCCUGGGAUUGACCUACUUGGGAUGUCUCAUACAAACAGGAUCAUGCACUGCGUUAAACCAAAAACAAUCCUCUGGAAUAAAUGCGUGUAAAGUAUAUUAAAAUGAGUCUUUUCAUACUUA